GCCUUUCAGAGAGGAAUAACAUUUGGAAACGAAUGGUAAUACCACAUACUGAGAGAUGGACUCGCGUCCGAUUAGCUGGAUGGUGAGGUAACGGCCCACCAUGGCGACGAUCGGUAGCCGGACUGAGAGGUUGAACGGCCACAUUGGGACUGAGACACGGCCCUGACUCCUACGGGAGGCAGCAGUGGGGAAUAUUGCACAAUGGGGGAAACCCUGAUGCAGCAACGCCGCGUGAAGGAAGACGGUCUUCGGAUUGUAAACUUUGUUCUUGGGAAGCGGUAGCCAAGGAGGAAGCACGGCUAACUACGUGCCAGCAGCCGCGGUAAUACGUAGGUGCAAGCGUUGUCCGGAAUUACUGGGUGUAAAGGGAGCGCAGGCGGGAAAUCAAGUUGGAUGUGAAAUGUCGGGGCUUAACCCCGGACUGCAUCCAAAACUGAUAUUCUUGAGUGAAGUAGAGGUAGGCGGAAUUCCGAGUGUAGCGGUGAAAUGCGUAGAUAUUCGGAGGAACACCAGUGGCGAAGGCGGCCUACUGGGCUUUAACUGACGCUGAGGCUCGAAAGUGUGGGGAGCAAACAGGAUUAGAUACCCUGG
rnacentral:rRNA from 1 species